GGCCUUNCGGGUUGUAAACCUCUUUCACCAGGGACGAAGCGUGAGUGACGGUACCUGGAGAAGAAGCACCGGCCAACUACGUGCCAGCAGCCGCGGUAAUACGUAGGGUGCGAGCGUUGUCCGGAAUUACUGGGCGUAAAGAGCUCGUAGGCGGUUUGUCGCGUCGUCUGUGAAAUUCUGCAACUCAAUUGCAGGCNUGCAGGCGAUACGGGCAAACUUGAGUACUACAGGGGAGACUGGAAUUCCUGGUGUAGCGGUGAAAUGCGCAGAUAUCANGAGGAACACCGGUGGCGAAGGCGGGUCUCUGGGUAGUAACUGACGCUGAGGAGCGAAAGCGUGGGUAGCGAACAGGAUUAGAUACCCUGGUAGUCCACGCCGUAAACGGUGGGUACUAGGUGUGGGUUCCUUUUCACGGGAUCCGUGCCGUACCUAACGCAUUAAGUACCCCGCC
rnacentral:rRNA from 1 species